rnacentral:rRNA from 1 species
UACGUAGGGUGCGAGCGUUAAUCGGAAUUACUGGGCGUAAAGCGUGCGCAGGCGGCUUUGCAAGACAGAUGUGAAAUCCCCGGGCUCAACCUGGGAACUGCAUUUGUGACUGCAAGGCUAGAGUACGGCAGAGGGGGAUGGAAUUCCGCGUGUAGCAGUGAAAUGCGUAGAUAUGCGGAGGAACACCAAGGGCGAAGGCAAUCCCCUGGGCCUGUACUGACGCUCAUGCACGAAAGCGUGGGGAGCAAACAGG